CGCGCGAUCCUCUCCGCGAGAACAGCCGGAGUUGGGGGCUCUCGCACCUUAAAUGCUCACAUUUGCUCGUUGCUCAGCCAGCCAUCUUCUUUCUCUAACGGCUGGUUUUGAAAGUUUGGAGGAGAAUGAAACCUAACAGAACUUUCUGAAGAAAUAGUCCACCGGCUCCAUGGACUAGGAGCUAUGGAUAAAAGUAGCCCAGGAUCAUUUUUGCUGUCUGUAUUCUAGGAUGACAUCCAACCCUUGAAUGAAAAGUCAAGAAUCCAUCAUUUCCACGUGCCUGAGCAUCCAGAUGGUUGGCAUCAGUGGAUAUAUACUGUGUAUCCAUUCACUGAACAAAUAUUUAUUGAGUGUCUGCUCUAUGCCUGGCUCUCUGCUAGGCCCUGAUGACUCCAAACUGAGUAAGAUUGAUUAUUCAGUCAACCUCACAAAAUCAAAUCAUCUUGAAGCAGAAAGGAAACAGCAACUGUACAUAGAAACAUUUCCAUUCCUGGCACCACUGUUUUAGACAUCAUCCUAGGAUACUCCUUUUUGUUUCGUGGCAAGCAUGGAAAGUGAAGAAACUGAGACUCAGAGACAUCAAGUAACUUGUUCAAGGCACACAGCUAUCGAGGGUCGGAGCUGAAACUCCAGGCCACUCCUUUUCCCAGUCCUGUGAUGGGAAGCAGAGAGCUAACUGGGCUGAUUCUGCCGCCCUCUGGUUCCAUCCCUUCAGAAAUGACAAAUUAUCCUGAGCCUCAGUGUGUUCAUCUAGCUAGUGGGACCACAGUGCCUCUCUCAGGAGCCAGUCAUGGGAAUCAAAGGAAAUAAUCGAUGUGGGGGCUCCUGGCUUUGGAGCCAACGUGCCUUAGGUGCUCAGCAAAUGUUUUUAUGGAUGGGAGCUUCAAACCCUCUUCCACCCUUGCCUCCUGCUUUCCACCAUCCUCCAACAUCCUCCCAGAGUGAGCAGCUCAUGACAUCCUAGAGCACGCUGUUUGAGUUAGAAGGUGUCCUGGCUUCUCUGAGAGCCCAGCCAGUGUGGAUAGCACAGGAGGAGAAGGCAUGGCCACCGCUGGGAGGUGAGAGUUUAUCUCUGCAGACACAGCCUGUCCAUCUCUGAAAUAUUAAAAAGACUUCCAGGAAGCACUGGAGAACUUUCCAAAAUGCAUCAUUCUUCAAGAACAGAAUUAUAAGGUAAUAGAAGAGCCACAUGCCCAACCUCAGCUCCAAUUCUCUCCAUCCUAAGAAGGAGCAAGCUGACCCCCAGUAUUCUUCCUGGGUCUAGAAACUCAAAGAACGAACUCCCCAUUUCCUCCAUCUGCCCCUGUCUCCUACCCAGUCCACUUUUGAGCCAUUGGCCCAUGUAACUCCCCAGCCCGCCAGGGAUCUACUGCCCUCAUGAGAGACUGAUCUUGCUCUAAUGUUUUAAACCUGAACCACUGAUUUCUGAAAAAUAAAUAUGAUCAAAAGGAAGAUUGUGUAACUAUUAAUCAAAGUCAGAGGGAGCAGAGUCCCCCAGGUUCUACCCUAAUGGGAUAUCCCUGAAAAGUAGGAGUUAAAGAGCUGCCUUUUAGAUUAAAUUCUAG
ensembl:lncRNA